GGGGGGGAGGAGGAGGCGAAGGAGGAGGAGGGGGAGGAAGGCAGGUGGGACAGGGCGGGGCGGUGCUGGGGGAGCAGGAGCUGAGGAGGAGGAGGAGGAAGGCAGGCGGGACAGGGCGGGGCGGUGCUGGGGGAGCAGGAGCUGAGGAGGAGGAGGAGGAAGGCAGGUGGGACAGGGCGGGGCGGUGCUGGGGGAGCAGGAGCUGAGGAGGGGACGCAGAUCUCCAGCACAGAGGACAGAAAACGGGGCACGAGCCCUGGACACUGGGCUGUGGCUGAGACAGGUACCGCUGCCACCAUCCUGCCUCCCAGUGCUGUCCCCUCCUUGCCUGGCUGUCCCUGUCUCUUUUUAAAUAUAAUUUAACACAGAAAUAGUGCUAGGGCCAGCGCUGUGGCACAGUGGGUUAAGCCUCUGCAUGCAGCACCGGCAUCACAUAUGGGUUUGAGUCCCAGCUGCUCCACUUGCAAUCCAGCUCCCUGCUAACGGCCUGGGAAAGCAGUGGAAGACGGUCCAAGUAAUUGGGCCUCUGGAUCCACAUGGGAGACCUCAAAGAAGCUCCUGGCUUUGGCCUGGCCCAGCUCUGCCCAUUGUGGCCAUUUGGGGAGUGAACCCACAGAUAGAAGAUUCUCUGACUCAGGCUUCAAAUAGAUUAAAAAAAAAAGUCUUAAAACAAAAAAACAGCAGGGGCCGGCGCCAUGCCGAAUCUGGUAAAGCUACCACCGGUGGGGCUGGAAUCCCAUAUGCACAUGGGCUAAUGGCCUGGGAAGCAGGGGAAGAUGGCCCAAGUGCUUGGGCCCCUGCACCCACGUGGGAGACCCAGAAGCAGCUCCUGGCUUCGGAUCAGCCCAGCUCUGACCACUUCAGCCAUUUGGGAAGUGAACCAGCAGAUACAAGAUCUCUCUGCCUCUCCUUCCCUGUAACUCUUUAAAAUAAAUCAACCUUUUUUUUUUAAAAAAAAAUGCUGUAUGGAAAAAAAAAAAAAAAAAAAGAAAGAAGCCCACUUCUCGCUGGCCCCGUGGAGUGAGUGUGCGCAGCCAUGGAGGCUCCAGGAAGGAGACCCCGCAGGCGCCAGAGUGUCAGCACUGGGCCUGUCCCUCAGUUGCCGAGAUAGUUCCUUGUCUCCAAGGGAGCCCGAGCAGGCGUGGCUCUGCCAGUGAGCCAGGUUACCCCACGCAGCUGCCUACGGGACUCGUCUGAGUUCCAGGAGGGCAAGAAGCGUGUCUCUGUCCCUACAGGGAGUGUUGACCAGGGAGCGUCCGAAGUUUAAAGAAUAGCCCCGAAUGGACACCUCCUCUGUGACCGCAGGCCUCGCACACUGCCGCGUCUGCACACGCAGUGGGACUCCCGCCAAGUCACCUCUGCCUUACCACGGGCGACUGCGAGGACAAGGCCUCGCCCUACCUGUGUCCUGACUCACAGCAGCGUGGCGCCUUUCUCAGAGGAGUACAGCCACACCCUGCUAGGUGUAUUGGCAGUAUGUUUCAAAAUCACUGUAAAAUCUUUUUUUUUUUUUUGGUAAAGAUUUAUUUAUUUAUUUGAAAGGUAAAGGCAGAGAGAGAGACACACAGAGACAGAGAGAGAGGUCUCCAUCCACUGGUUCACUCCCCAGAUGGCUGCAACGCCAGAGCUGCACCAAUCUGAAGCCAGGAGUAAUGGGUAGAGCCGCCACCUGUGGUGCCAGCAUCCCAUGUGGGCACCGGUUUGAGUCCCAGCUGCUCCACUUCCAAUCCAGCCCCGUGCUAAUGGACCUGGGAAAGUGGAAGAUGGCCCAAGUGCUUGGGCCCCUGCACCCAUGUGGAAGACCCAGAGAAAGCUCCUGGCUUCAGUCUGGCCCAGCCCUAGCUGUUGUGGCCGUUCGGGGAGUGAACCAGGGGAUGGAAGAGAUCUGUCUCUCUCCCUCCCUCUCUCUGCAACUCUGCCUUUCAAAUAAAUAAAAUAAAUCUUAAAAAAAAAAAAAAAAAAAAA